GCUUUAUCUUCCUCUGUCUUCCUCUACCCGACCCCCUCCCACCUCUCAUCUAGGGACGAUGACACAUCUAGCACCGACCACUGCCCCGCCCCGCCGCCAGCUUCCCCUCACCGGCGUCGCCCCCAACAGCGGCGAGGACCGCUCUUAUCCUUCCCUUCCCCUCUACCCUCUCCUUCCACGCCCCCACUGUAGUCGGAUCUGAGCUGGCUCCGAUCCCCCGCCGUCUCUCCCGGAUCCGGCGGCCCCAACGCUACUGGAGCCACCCACGCGAUCGCCAUCGCCGUAAACAAUUGUGGUCACGAUACCCCUACCAUUGGCCCUCCCCGACCGGCCUCCACCACCGUGCCGGGUAGCGCCUCGCCGUUCCAUCGACACACUGCCACCACCACCAGUCCUGCAGACUCCCCAGCAAUCCCUUUAAACCCGGCAGGCACCAAUCCCCUUCCAACCCCAAACCCCCCCAAACCCUAACCUGAACCCAAAAUCCUAUCCCAAACUGGAGCUCACUAGAUAAGACGAGGUGCACAACAGAGGAGGGGGUCGCUGCAAUUGAAGGCAACUAGGGAGAGUGGGCUGUCCUGAUAACGAUUGGUGCAGAGCCCCGCCGCCGGCUCUCCCGUGCUUUAUCUUUAUAAGGUGUCCACAGCUGCACGAAAAAAAGAAAACAAAAAAGAUAAAAGCCUCUCGUCUUCUUCUUCCUGACCCCCCGCUCCUCUCAUCUUCUCCAUCCGUGCGAGGCAUGGUAGUGCAUCUAUCCCUGACCACCAGCUAGACCACGCCCCCCUGCAGUCAGACCCGAGCUUCCCUGCCUCCAAUCUCCCGCCGUCCCUCCCGGCCUUGGGGGGCCAUCAUUGCCGGAUCCGCCACCCACGCGACCGCCACCAACACACCGAGCCUCCCCAACCUGCCUCCUCUAACUUGUGGUGGGUGGUGGCUCGCUGUCCCGUCCACCACUGUCACUUCGGCAGCCUCCACGACCAUCCUUUUAAGCCCGACAGCCACCAAUCCCCUACCCAACCCGAAACCCCCAAACCCUAAUAUGAACCCAAAUCCUAACCCAAUUCGGAGCUCGCAUGAGAAGACGAGGUGCACGCCGGAGAUAGAAGAUCGCUGGAGUAGAGGAGGUCGCCGGAGUUGGAGGUGCAUGAGGGGCACUUCGGAGUGCAGUAAGGGCAGUUGGCUUUGCAUUCUUCUGGUGUGAGGAAACAUCUUUGCUGAUCUGGCAGUUGGUUCUCGCAACAAUAGCAGAGCUCAAACAAGCCAGGCAAACAAUGCAAUUUCCGGUCAGUGCAAAACUGCAUUGUUAACUUGCUCUCAUCUAAUGAGCUGGAGUUGGCUGCAGUAGCAUUAGUAGUCAUGCUGGUAAAACUGUUCGUGUAGCUCCUUGCAGCUGUAGCAUCGAGUAGCCGAGGAGGAUGACCUAUCAAUUGCAUAUCAUGUCAGUAGAUAUGUCUUGACAAGCUUAGGUUAGCCAGGUGAGAAAAAAAAGUUUAUGUAGACUCACAUUCUGCAGGCAAUGCAAGACAUCCCAAAACCACAAGAAACAAUAUGGUAAUCAUGUACGUGAGACCAACACCGCCGCUCUCUCAUCUUGGAACUUAUUUUACUUACUGGUCACAAUAUCUGAAUUGUAUAUGAUUGUCAGCAAUGCCUCGAAUUUGAUAUUUAUACAGAGAGGCUGGUCCUCAUAGUUGAGCUUGAGGUAAGUCCAUGGGGGCAAAUGGGAUCUGCAACUAUGAAAUUGAGGUGUUUGUUAUUCUGAUUGUAGAAAACAAAACGGUCAACAUUUAUAAAUAGCUAUCUUAUGUGAUUUAUUAGUGGAUUCACUGGAUACAUAUCCAAUAAGAUCUACUAUAUACAGUCCCUCAUGAUUUAGCAAAAUUAAUUUGAUUCAUUGCUGACAUGAUUUUUAGGAUCACUUUGCUUGGUGCCAAAAAAAAGGAAUUUUUUUCACCACAUAUCAGUAUUAUACAGGAUUGAUUGAGGGCUAAUAUUACACAUUUCUCACUUGAGUAAACAAUUAAAACAAUCCUUGUAUGUACUCCUAACAGUUCAUUUUAUAUUAUAUUCCAGGUACCUGGAAACCUUUUACUCAAGAUACAUGUUUAGGUGUCACUAAAGGAAGAUUCAGGCUUAAUUUGAGUGAUUAGGCCGAAAGCAGAGCGACAUCAGACCCAGCGUGCUCGCCUCGUGGGAAUGUCUGUUGACUGCUGUACUAUAAUACACAUCAUCCGGCACCCAAAUCAAUGUCAGUCUCAGGUUGACUGCUAUCUGAAUCAAAGGAGGUUGGAAUGUCUGUUUGGCUGCCGUCCUAGCAUACACCAUCCAAUGGCUCCAUAUCAAUGUCAUUCUCAUCUUGAUUUUAUUGGAGCUGAGGUAGUAGUCGAGCAGAGAGGACCUAAACCUUGUUAUUACUCAAAAAAAUUUAAAAGUUAGGAACUCUUGUUUCAUCACAGCAUUAAGGAACCAAGACUGAUGCAGAUCAUCAUUAAAAUUGUAUCUUGUACAUCAAAGCAAUAACAUUAUUGUUUAGAUCC